AUAAAUACCUUAAUGCACAGUGGGAGGCUGUGCCAUAUCGUCUAGUUGCCCGCAAGUAUGCAAAUGGGCCAGUGUACGAAGUCCAGAAGGAAGGAACUGAUUGUGUCCGAGUACUUCACAGAAAUAUGUUGCGCCUGUGUCAAUCUGAAGAAGCAAAUUGUGAUGGAACUGAUAAUGUCAACAAGCUCCCACAG